GUACACACAGAGCAGCUUGAUACAGUCAGUCAUCACCUAGAAGAUCUGGACGGUCCUCCCUACAAGAGUUGCUGAGGUGUGCAGGUGAAAUGCUGUGAGGUGAAAUGCUGUGAGGGGAAAUGCUGUGAGGGGAAAUGCUGUGAGGGGAAAUGCUGUGAGGGGAAAUGCUGUGAGGGGAAAUGCUGUGAGGUGAAAUGCUGUGAGGGGAAAUGCUGUGAGGUGAAAUGCUGUGAGGUGAAAUGCUGUGAGGGGAAAUGCUGUGAGGUGAAAUGCUGUGAGGGGAAAUGCUGUGAGGUGAAAUGCUGUGAGGGGAAAUGCUGUGAGGGGAAAUGCUGUGAGGGGAAAUGCUGUGAGGGGAAAUGCUGUGAGGGGAAAUGCUGUGAGGUGAAAUGCUGUGAGGGGAAAUGCUGUGAGGUGAAAUGCUGUGAGGGGAAAUGCUGUGAGGGGAAAUGCUGUGAGGUGAAAUGCUGUGAGGGGAAAUGCUGUGAGGGGAAAUGCUGUGAGGUGAAAUGCUGUGAGGGGAAAUGCUGUGAGGGGAAAUGCUGUGAGGG